rnacentral:tRNA from 2 species
UUUUUAGAUUGGUAAUAAUAGUUCUCAUAAUCGCUUGGUCGCUGGUUCAAGUCCAGCAGGGGCCACCA